rnacentral:rRNA from 1 species
UACGUAGGGCGCAAGCGUUAUCCGGAAUUACUGGGCGUAAAGCGCACGUAGGCGGACUGGAAAGUCAGAGGUGAAAUCCCAGGGCUCAACCUUGGAACUGCCUUUGAAACUCCCGGUCUUGAGGUCGAGAGAGGUGAGUGGAAUUCCGAGUGUAGAGGUGAAAUUCGUAGAUAUUCGGAGGAACACCAGUGGCGAAGGCGGCUCACUGGCUCGAUACUGACGCUGAGGUGCGAAAGCGUGGGGAGCAAACAGG